CACUUAAAGCUCACACAAAACUUCAAAAGAACUAACAUAAGGUUCCUAAUAAUCAACAAAUAUAAACGAGUUAUACCAUAAAUAUCAAAAGAAAACAUGUAACAUAAAUCAUAAAUUUUAAAUCUUUCCAUCUCAUAUCCUACAUCAAAGCAUAUUUUAAAAAUAGUCAAGGCAUCAUGCCUAAUCACCUACAUCAUCAUAAUCUUAAGUUACAAAAUACAAAAAAAAAAAACUCAAAAUGAGAAAGUGAGAUGCACAUCUUACUUUCAUUUCUAGUAUGAGAUAAGCUAGACUGAGUAAUCACACACAUAAACAAGUAUUAAGAUAUAUAAUAUCAAUUAUAUAAUUAUAACCAUAAUAGUUUAAAUAGUAACUCAAUCACAUAUCAAGCAUAUUUAUUCACUUUAACAAGUCAUACAAUAUAUACACAUGAUAUUAAGAAUAUAAGCAACACAACAUUCACGUGCAAUUGUCUAAAGACCAAUUAAUAGAGGAUUGCUAGAGAAAACGAUUCUACACUAGGUUAUUGCUAAGAAAGUUUCUCAUUCCAUGCUUGAUGAAUUCCAAUACAGCCACUGUAAAAAGAAAGACCUAAUGAUUUGGGUGUCUACACGUGUAGAGCACCGAUUUAGGGAAAACAACAAUGUAACUGAAUUCAAACUGCUGGCUCAACACCUGGCCUAUUUAAAAGCCCAAUUCUCUAAGUUAUAUAAUCUUUGAAUUUUAAUGGGCUUCUUGUUGUACGCUUGGGCCUUUCAACUUUAUCAAUACCAGCCUGGUCACAUUGGACAUUUUCCUCAAUGUCAUUGGCCAUGUUGGAGCCGCCACGAAUCCUUGCUGAGGUGGACGCACGAGAUGCGAGUGUGUUUUUGCUGAAUAGUUGUGAUGAAACAGUGGUAAGUGGGGCGUGUGCAUUAACUUCUAAAGUAAUGGAAGGGCCACGUGUUUGGUCACACGAGGUGACACCCACUUCCCUAAACCCAGUUUGCACGCGAUUAAAGUCAUUAGAUGGAGGCCCUUCAUCUAGCUCAGUCGGGGGCGACAGAAAGGACGAAGAGGUUUCAGUGGAGGCGUCAAUCCUUUGCUACGGAAGAGCCCGAAAGUGGCGGAUAGGGUCUUCGCCUUUGUAAAGGCACAAAAACGAUACAUGGAACACGAGGUGAAUGGGGGCGGUGUCCGGCAAGAUGAGUUCAUAAGCAAUUGAACCAAUGCGCCGACGAACUUGGAAGGGCCUAUAAUACCGCUUGGCAAGCUUUUGAGACGUGCGACGUAACAAGGAAGUCUAUCGGUACGGCUGAAGCUUCAAAAGAACCUAAUCACUAGGUUGAAAGGAGAAGGAGAACAGAGGUGGAAGACGAAUCGCGUAAUGCAUCUGUCGGGUUUGGAGGCGCGCGCCCAUACAAAGCAUGAAAGGGAGAUGUGCCGAUGCUGGUGUGGAAGGAGGUAUUAUGCCAAUAUUUCGUGAGGUGAAGAUACUGGUACCAAGCGCGAGGGUGAUCACUAACGAAACAACGAAGGUAAGCUUCCAAACAUCUGUUCAAGACUUCUGAUUGCCUGUCGGACUGAGGGUGAUAGGCAGAGUUAAAGGCCAAGGUUGUGCCUUGGGCGCGAAAAAGUUCACGCCAAAUAGAACUCACGAACAAGGGAUCCCUGCCCGAAACAAUGGAUUUUGGAAAGCCAUGGAGUUUGAAAAUUUCAAUCAUGAAACGUCGAGCGAGCUGCGAUGCUGUGAAGUGGGCAGGAAGGGCAAUGAAAUGGGAAAACUUGGUUAAACGAUCACAAACAACCCAUAUUGUGGAAUGACCAAACGAUUUUGGAAGGGCACUCACGGAUGAACUUGUGAGCAUCAGAACAAAGACCUGGCCAAUAAAAAGCAGCAGCAAGACGACAAACUGUAGGUUUCAAACCCGAAUGGUCGGCAACCGGGGUACAAUGAAACUCCUUGAGCAGUUGGAGGUGGAAAUCAUCAAUAUCUGGGACAAACAGUCGUUCCUUGAAAUACAAUAGCUCAUUAUGAAGGGUAAACGAAUCUUGCCCGUUAUCUUGUUGAAGUAUUUAUUAACUAAUUCCUGACCCGUUGUCUUAAAAUAUUGCUGCCAAGGGUGAAGGAACAGAGGAACAGGUGAAGAAAUAUAGAGCAAGAUCGAAGGGUGUGGUUCUAGGCGAGAUAAAGUAUCAGCCACAAGAUUCUGACUGUCAGGCCUGUAGAGAAUGUCAAAAUUGGUAGCCCAAGAAUUUAAUGACCCAUUUCUGCUGCUCGGGAGUGUGGACUGCUUGGCCAACAUUUCGCGGAUGUAGACAAGGGCAGCUUGGAGCUUAGGGAAAAGGUGCUUGCUAAAGAAAGCAAUAAGAUGACCAUGCUGGGACAAAACAACUCCGAUUGCAGUGCCAGAAGCAUCGGUCUUGAUGACAAAAAGAGAGUUGAAGUCUGGAAGAGCCAGAACUGAAACAAAUGUAAUUUUAUUUUUGAGCUCAGUAAAAGCUUGUUGUGCUUGUAAAGGCCAUUGAAAAGUAGUGGAACGCAAUAAAUCGGUGAGGGGAGUGGCAAUCGCUACAUAGUUUCGGACAAAUUUUCUAUAAAAACCAGUUAGGCCUAAGAACCUGCGUAGAGCCGUGAGUGAACGUGGAGGAGGCCAAGCUACGAUAGCUUGAAUCUUCUCUGGGUCAGGUUGAACCCCUUGGCCUGAAAUAAUAUGACCCAAAUAGGUCACCGAAGGCAUGGCAAACACACACUUUAAAAAUUUAGCAUAAAAUUGGUUAGACAAUAGGAGCUGAAGAAUAGAAUCCAGGUGUGACAAGUGAUCUUGGAAUGAAUUACUAUAGACCAGAAUAUCAUCAAAAAUACCAGCAUAAAUUUUCGUAAAAACGGUCUUAGUAAUUCAUUCAUGGUAGCUUGAAACGUAGAGGGAGCAUUAGAGAGGCCGAAAGGCAUCACUAAAAACUUGUAAUGACCAUCAAGGGUGCGGAAAGCAGUUUUAAAACUAUCAAAAGAAUUUACUUUGAUUUGGUGAUAACCAGAACGAAGAUCAAUCUUAGAAAAAACUUGAGCUGAACCAAGUUCAUCUAGCAAUUCUUCAAUGGUGGGUAUAGGGAAACGAUCACAUAUGGUAAUGGCAUUAAGAGCGCGGUAAUCAACACAGAAACGCCAAGUAUUGUCCUUCUUUUUAACUAAUAAAACUGGUGAGGAAAAGGGACUAGUACUAGGCUUAAUAAUUCCAUCAGCUAACAUUUCCGUAAUAAGGUUGGUCAUAAUGGUCUUUUGGGAAUGAGGGUAGCGAUAAGGUUUGAUAUUAACAGGGGUGGAAUUGGGUAAAAGUGAAAUGUGAUGGUUCUAAGGACGAUUUGGGGGUAAGCUUUUAGGUAUUUGAAAGACAGCUUGGUAAGUGGUUAAGAGAGUUUUAAUCUCAGGAGGAGAAGAGGUAGGAAUGGAUUCUAAGAAGGGUAAACGUAUGGGAAACUUGCAGUAAAUGUAGGGAUGCUACCAAAUCUUGGUGGAUAUAAUGGCAUAAUUGGUGAAAGGAUGACAUGGUAGGGGAAAUAGAGUCACCAGUGAUAGUCACAGUCGUGUCGUGAUGGCUAAAGGUGAGGGUUGGCACAGAAAAGUCAGCUUGAAUUGGGCCCAAAGUGCGAAGCCAAGUAAUCCCAAGAACAACAUCAGCUCCCUCAAUAGGAAUCACGUACAAGGGAACUUGAACCACGGCCUGUUGAAUAGUAAGAGGAACACUAGAGCACAAUUUAUCGCAUAGAAUAAAUUCACCAUUGCCCACCAUAACUUUGAACGGAGAAGUGGGACUCAUAUCCAAUUGUAAAUGGUGAGCCAAACGUGGUUGGAUAAUAUUGUGAGCGCUUCCUGAAUCAAUUAAGAUCAUUACCGUACAACCAUUAAUAGUGCCUUUAAACCGCAACGUUUGAGGGGAAGGAACACUUGUGAGAGCCUGAUGGGAUAGCUGAAAAUGAAUAGCAAGGUUAGGUUCAUAAUCGUCCAAAGUAGGUUCAGCCAAUAAAUCACUUGAAUCAGGACCAACAUCGUCAUUACAAAGUAACAACAAAAAUUUUAGGGUUGCAAACUUAUGUCCCAGAUGAAAUUUCUCAUCACAAUUGUAGCAAAGCCCAGCAACUCGUCGUUCUUGUAGUUGUUGAGAAGAAAGACAUUUAAUGGGAAAGGAUGGGGAGUCGGGUGGCACAGAAGGUUUGGCAACAGAAUUGGCCGAUUUAAUAGUGGAGGAUGUAUGGUUAGGAAAAGAGGAGGAGGAACGGUUAAACUUGGGUUUGGCGUCUUUGAAUUUGGCCUCAAUUAAUUUAGCAAGCCCAAUGGCUUGAGAAAUUGUCUGGGGUUGAAACAUAGCCAUUUCAUUUUGAAUAUAUCUGUAUGUAACCCAGAAAUAAAACAAUUCUUAAGAAUUUUCGGUGGAAUACCAAAAACACGAUUGCUCAAUUUUUCAAAAGUAGCCUGAAAAUCAGCAACGGAACUGGUUUGGCGUAAUUUCAAUAAUUCACCCUGGUGGUUCUCGUAAGAUGAAGGCCCAAAACGAAUUUUCAUGGUUCGUGCAAAAGAAGGCCAAUCACCUAAUUGAUUUGUGAAACAUCCAUUUAAACCAACUCAAAGCAUCACCCUGCAUAUAAAAAGCUGUAAUAGGAACCCUGUAAUCCCAAGGCACUUGAUAAAACAAAAUAUUGAUCAUGCUGAAAUAACCAAUCCAAAGGGGCAGAGCCAUCAAACGGUAGGAGGUUCAAUUUGGGGGGUCGAAUAUGGGAGUGAGGAAAUGGUGGUGAAAGUUGGACUGGUGGAGUAAAGGUUGAGGAAUUGGGUGGUAUUAAAGGAGGGAUAAAUGGUAGGGAUUCUGUGAUGGUAAUAGGUUUGGUGAAAAGAGGAAGGGGUCUCGGGUAGGAAGGGUCGCAAAAAGUAAUUGAUGGGAAAGGGUGAGAUGGAAAGGAAGUAGAUGGCACAUGGGAACUAAAGGUACUGUCAACCGAGGGAAAGGAAGAAGAAAUAGAGGCCCCAGAGGUGGACGAACCUGGAUUCCCAAAAUGAGUACGAAGGGUGGCCAUGAUGGUGGAUAAGGAUUCUUGGUUCUGGGUAAUCGCAGCUUGCAUGGUAGAAUAUUGGGACUCAAAGGUGGCAACCUGGGAUUCAAAUUGGGUCUAGAGAUCGUGAAAUUUGGUGGAAAGGUGUUGAAUGGGGUCAUCUUCUUUAGAAGAACGGGGAGGCAUGAGGAGAAUGAAAGCACCAAAUAAUAGAGGAUUGCUAGAGAAAACGAUUCUACACUAGGUUAUUGCUAAGAAAGUUGCUCAUUGCAUGCUUGAUGAAUUCCAAUACAGCCACUAUAAAAAGAAAGACCUAAUGAUUUAGGUGCCUACACAUAUAGAACACCGAUUUAGGGAAAACAAAAAUGUAACUGAAUUCAAAUUGCUGGCUCAACACCUGGCCUAUUUAAAAGCCCAAUUCUCUAAGUUAUAUAAUCUUUGAAUUUUAAUGGGCUUCUUGUUGUACGCUUGGGCCUUUCAACUCUAUCACCAAUGCUCAUAUAUAGUUGCCCAAAGACUGUAACAUCCUAAUUUUUUAAAAACAAAUAUCAUUAAAUAAUGAGUAAUUUUGUAAUUAAAUAUUAUUAUAUUAUAUUCAUAAUUAUUAUUUGGAAUUAAAUGUGAAGAAUUAUUUUAUUAAAUAAAGUAAUAAGGUAGUUUUAUUAAAUUAAAUUUAUUUAUUUAAUUUAAUGGGAGAAGGGAAACAGGUCAAGUUGACCUGGUUCAAUGAGCCUUUAAGAAAGGGGUUAGACAAAAUUUACCCUAAUUUGCCUCAUUUUACAUUCUGGAAGAACUGAGAGAGAAGAAAGAGAAGGAAGAAGCUCUGAGAAAAAGUGCUCAGAUCAUCUAAAAAUUAAUUACAUCAAAUUGCUUGAGAUCAUCACAAUAAGGUACAGGGGAGGGAAAUGAGUCCAUUCAUAUGUGGGAUUUCAAGAUGAGAUGGGUAGUGGGAGCAAUCCUAAAUUCCUAAGAUUUUCCAUUUUCUGUUCUAACAUUGCAAUUGACGAUUCAAUUAGGUUUUAUAUUGAUUUAUAAAUGUGUUUGUUGUAUUAUUUGGUAAAAUUGAUGAUAUGGAUGAUAAUUGAAUUCAUUAGGAUGUCUCUAUGGAUUAGGAUUCUUGAGUAAUUUGAUUAUUGUUAAUUAGUAUGUAAAUUCAUGAAUUAAAGUUAUAUAAUGUGUUUUUGGGUAAAAAAAUAAGUGUUUCUAACCGAUUAGAUUGGUAAAAAGAUGAUUAUAUGAUUACUUAUGAAUUUUGGUGAUGUUUUGUUCAUGCUGCGUUUCUGGAAAACACGUUGGGCGUCGGGCUUGAGUUUUUGGCCUCGAGCUUGCAUUCAUACUGAUGAGUGUGAAACCCAAAUGAGGUCAAGCUAGGCAUGGGAUGCAUCACGCCGAGCGUGACAAAGUUGGUAAAGUUAUAAGUGAUGAGGGUAGCACUCAAGGUGUCGAGAGCUGAAGUGACGGGUUUGCUCUAAUAAUGUGACAUCGGGGUAAUGUGAUUAAAAUAGGAUUUUAUCUUUUCAUGUUAAUUACCAUUUCAUUUCGUAUUUAAACACUAUUGAAAACCUUAUGUGUUAUAAUAUUUUUAUUUGGUUGGAUGUUCAGAGGUGGAUUACAUGUGAACCUAUUUUACCUGAGUUGUAAAUGAAUUUCUUCCUUAUUUAAUUAUUUUAUA